rnacentral:rRNA from 1 species
AUUGAACGCUGGCGGCAGGCCUAACACAUGCAAGUCGGACGGUAGCACAGAGAGCUUGCUCUUGGGUGACGAGUGGCGGACGGGUGAGUAAUGUCUGGGGAUCUGCCCGAUAGAGGGGGAUAACCACUGGAAACGGUGGCUAAUACCGCAUAACGUCGCAAGACCAAAGAGGGGGACCUUCGGGCCUCUCACUAUCGGAUGAACCCAGAUGGGAUUAGCUAGUAGGCGGGGUAAUGGCCCACCUAGGCGACGAUCCCUAGCUGGUCUGAGAGGAUGACCAGCCACACUGGAACUGAGACACGGUCCAGACUCCUACGGGAGGCAGCAGUGGGGAAUAUUGCACAAUGGGCGCAAGCCUGAUGCAGCCAUGCCGCGUGUAUGAAGAAGGCCUUCGUGUUGUAAAGUACUUUCAGCGGGGAGGAAGGCGGUGCGGUUAAUAACCGUACCGAUUGACGUUACCCGCAGAAGAAGCACCGGCUAACUCCGUGCCAGCCGCCGCCGUAA